UCCCCUUGGCCUGAAUUUUCUGACAAAUUAAUCUUCAUCUUCUUCUUCACGUAAUCUUCUUCUUCACAUAAUCUUCAUAUAUCACUGCUGCUUACCAUGAUUAAAAAUUGCUAUGGGUUAAAAUUGAAGCCCUAUGCAUUAAAAAUAAAAAGCACGUGGAGCCUUGUGCAAAGUUAAGAGUAAAACUUAUGCGUUAAAAGUAUAUGCAUGAGUUUAAAGGAGCUCAAACAUUAAAGCAAGUAUGAGUUGAAAAGUGGAGCCCAUAAACAUGGGUUGAAAAUUGAUUUUGGUUUUAAAGAUGGAUUAACAACAAGAUUGUUGAAAUUUUUUUUAAAACUUUUUAUCCACAUUUAGUAUCUUGAACAUAUAUCUUCAUUAUCAUCAAAUUCGUUGCCACUUUGAUCUUAAACUAUCCUCAAUCGAACCAUCAAAUUUUUGUACCAUAGGCUCUGAUACCACUUGUUGGGUUCGAAACCGAGAGGGCGUCAUGCGAAAGCUAUUAAUUGCAAACUAAUAUGACGAUAAAUCAGACGACAAAAAAAAUACAUAACAUUAAAAGGCAUAUUAUUGAUAUGUUUUGGCCAAACGGCCUACACAUUAAAAAUAAAAUUGAAAAAACUAAAAUCUAUUGGGAGAAAUCUCCCUCUAAACAAAAAUUCUUUAAAGACUACAU
rnacentral:lncRNA from 1 species